UACGGGGGGGGCAAGCGUUGUUCGGAAUUACUGGGCGUAGAGGGCUCGUAGGCGGCCAACUAAGUCCGACGUGAAAUCCCCAGGCUUAACCUGGGAACUGCGUCGGAUACUGGAUGGCUUGAAUUCGGGAGAGGGAUGCAGAAUUCCAGGUGUAGCGGUGAAAUGCGUAGAUAUCUGGAGGAAUACCGGUGGCGAAGGCGGCAUCCUGGACCGACAUUGACGCUGAUGAGCGAAAGCUAGGGGAGCAAACGGG
rnacentral:rRNA from 1 species